rnacentral:rRNA from 1 species
UACGGAGGGAGCUAGCGUUGUUCGGAAUUACUGGGCGUAAAGCGCACGUAGGCGGCUUUGUAAGUUAGAGGUGAAAGCCCCGGAGCUCAACUCCGGAAUUGCCUUUAAGACUGCAUCGCUCGAAUCCAGGAGAGGUGAGUGGAAUUCCGAGUGUAGAGGUGAAAAUUCGUAGAUAUUUCGGAAGAACACCAGUGGCGAAGGCGGCUCACUGGACUGGUAUUGACGCUGA